rnacentral:rRNA from 1 species
CCUAUGGGGGGCAGCAGUGAGGAAUAUUGGUCAAUGGGCGCGAGCCUGAACCAGCCAAGUCGCGUGAGGGAUGACGGCCCUACGGGUUGUAAACCUCUUUUGCCGGGGAGCAACGGGCGCCACGUGUGGCGCCACUGAGAGUACCCGGAGAAAAAGCAGCGGCUAACUCCGUGCCAGCAGCCGCGGUAAUACGGAGGAUGCGAGCGUGAGCCGGAUGGAGUGGGUUUACAGGGUGCGUAGGCGGAUCGUUUAGUCAGUGGUCACAUUGAGGGGCUCCACCCCUUCCCGCCAUUGAAACUGGCGCUCUUGCGUGGACGAGCAGUAUGCGGCAUGCGUGGUGUAGCGGU